CAGCGAUGCACAAGCAGCCAGCACUGGUGCUUCCUGGAUCUGUUCAGAUGAGGAUCAAGAGUUCUCAGAACAAUACUGUAGAGAGACUCAGCCAGACAAAGUCUAUGGUCUUACCAGAUCCUGACACACUACAGAAACCCACUGUUUUAAAAGGAGAAUAUUUAAACAAAGCCAAAAUUGCUGAAGGAGGAAAGAAAUUACGAAAAACUGGACUUCAACCUGGUUGUUCUCUGCUCCAAUCAACUAUUAUUCUAUAAAGAGAGCAAACAAGAAGCUGUUGCAAAUUUGAAACCAGGUGGUAAAGCAGAUGGUGUGGAUCUGUGUGGGGCUCUUAUCGAGUGGACAACAGAGAAAUCCAGUCGAAAGAACGUGAUUCAGAUAACCACCCUAACUGGUCAGGAGUUUUUGCUGCAGGCAGAUCACUUUCCAACCAUCUGUAAAUGGCAUGAUGCCCUCAAGAAAGCAGUGGAC